CCGACUAGUUCCGGGUUCGAGUCCCGGGCAACCCAUAUGGAAAAUAGAAAAGAGCAAUCUGAGUUUUUAAUUUUCACUCACUUCAUUUACAAAAUUUAUUGGUUUGGUUAAUUUCGUUAUAUGGAUAUCCAAUCU
rnacentral:tRNA from 1 species